rnacentral:rRNA from 1 species
GACGAACGCUGGCGGCGUGCCUAAUACAUGCAAGUAGGACGCAGUUGCGAACGGGUGAGUAACGCGUUGGUAACUACCUAUUAGAGGUGGUUAACUAUUUGACACGAUAGCUAAUACCGCAUACUAGCAUAUGGACCUUCGUUGUAUUAGCUAGUAGGUGGGGUAAUGGCCUACCUAGGCAACGAUACAUAGCCGACCUGAGAGGGGGAUCGGCCACACUGGGACUGAGACACGGCCCAGACUCCUACGGGAGGCAGCAGGAGGGAAUCUUCGGCAAUGGGGGGAACCCUGACCGAGCAACGCCGCGGGAGUGAAGAAGGUUUUCGGAUCGUAAAGCUCUGUUGUUAAGGAAGCGGUAAUUAACCAGAAAGGGACGGCUAACUACGUGCCAGCAGCCGCGGUAAUUC